rnacentral:rRNA from 1 species
AACGAACGCUGGCGGCAUGCCUAACACAUGCAAGUCGAACGAGAUCUUCGGGUCUAGUGGCGCACGGGUGCGUAACGCGUGGGAAUCUGCCCUUUGGUUCGGAAUAACAGUUGGAAACGACUGCUAAUACCGGAUGAUGACGAAAGUCCAAAGAUUUAUCGCCAGAGGAUGAGCCCGCGUAGGAUUAGCUAGUUGGUGUGGUAAAGGCGCACCAAGGCGACGAUCCUUAGCUGGUCUGAGAGGAUGAUCAGCCACACUGGGACUGGGACACGGCCCAGACUCCUACGGGAGGCAGCAGUGGGGAAUAUUGGACAAUGGGCGAAAGCCUGAUCCAGCAAUGCCGCGUGAGUGAUGAAGGCCUUAGGGUUGUAAAGCUCUUUUACCCGGGAUGAUAAUGACAGUACCGGGAGAAUAAGCUCCGGCUAACUCCGUGCCAGCAGCCGCCGCUGUAA